rnacentral:rRNA from 1 species
GAUGAACGCUGGCGGCGUGCCUAAUACAUGCAAGUCGAGCGAACGGACGAGAAGCUUGCUUCUCUGAUGUUAGCGGCGGACGGGUGAGUAACACGUGGAUAACCUACCUAUAAGACUGGGAUAACUUCGGGAAACCGGGGCUAAUACCGGAUAAUAUUUUGAACCGCAUGGUUCAAGAGUGAAAGACGGUCUUGCUGUCACUUAUAGAUGGAUCCGCGCUGCAUUAGCUAGUUGGUAAGGUAACGGCUUACCAAGGCAACGAUGCAUAGCCGACCUGAGAGGGGGAUCGGCACACCUGGACCUGAGAACCGGUCCAGCACCCUACGGGAGGCAGCAGUAGGGAAUCUGCCGCAAGGGGCGAAAGCAUGACGGAGCAACGCCGCGUGAGUGAUGAAGGUCUUCGGAUCGUAAAACGCUGUUAUUAGGGAAGAAAAUAUGUGUAAGUAACGGUGCACAUCUGGACGGUACCUAAGCAGAAAGCCACGGCUAACUACGU